GAAGUUGGCCGAGUGGUUAAGGCGGCAGACUCGAAUGGUCUAUUUGCUAGGCGUUAUCGUAAUCUGCUGGGUUCGCCGUAUGUCUACUCAUUAAUAGAGUAGAAGAACGUAUACUGACCUUAUCAUUAGCGCACAGGUUCAAAUCCUGUAGCUGUCG